AAAAAGCUCGUAGUUGGAUUUCGGAGUGGGCCAGUUGGUCCGCCGCAAGGUGUGUUACUGACUGGUUUGCUCUUCUUCGCAAAGACUGCGUGUGCUCUUGAGUGAGUGUGCGUAGGAUUUACGACGUUUACUUUGAAAAAAUUAGAGUGUUCAAAGCAGGCUAUUGCUUGAAUACAUGAGCAUGGAAUAAUGGAAUAGGACUUUGGUCCCAUUUUGUUGGUUUCUAGGACCGAAGUAAUGAUUAAGAGGGACAAUUGGGGGCAUCCGUAUUUCGUUGUCAGAGGUGAAAUUCUUGGAUUUACGAAAGACGAACAACUGCGAAAGCACUUGCCAAGAGUGUUUUCAUUAAUCAAGAACGAAAGUUAGAGGAUCGAAGACGAUCAGAUACCGUCCUAGUUCUAACCAUAAACGAUGUCGACUAGGGAUCAGCGGGCGUUAUCGUACGACCCCGUUGGCACCUUACGGGAAACCAAAGUUUUUGGAUUCCGGGGGAAGUAUGGUUGCAAAGCUGAAACUUAAAGGAAU
rnacentral:rRNA from 1 species